UCACUUUUCUAACAAGGAAGUGACACCACGAGCAGCCGCGUCCUUGUGAAUGCUGCUAGCUACUUUAUUUAAUAUCCUAAUCUUUUGACAUAAUAUUGCAGAUAUGAAGAUAGAUCCUGUAAAAUGGAACCGAAAUGCGUCAUUGGCCUAUGCUGUUGGUGUAUGGACCAUGCUUGGUUACGCAUAUUACAAAUACACGCUCGGAAGCGACAAAGUUGAAAAGGUCGUCGAAGACAUCAGACCUAAUGUGAAGAUAUAUGAAACAAAACACACUCGAACUACAAUUAUCUACAAGGACCCGGAGGAUUCUGUGCCAUACACCACAAUGCUUUUAAACUUCUUCAGAGGUACAUCUGGGAGUCCUCAAGAGAGGGAAAAACAAGAAGAAGAGAAAUGAGCAGACUGUUUGUUUGUUUUCCGACAAAAAAAAAAGUACUGUCAUUUUAAAAUGGAAAUGAAUGUUUUGGGACACUGAACUCAGUUGCAGUUUAAAUGAGGCAAGAAAGCUCACUGGCAACAUUAAUAUAAUAUUUUGAUAAUUGCCUUAUGAGUUAAGCAACUUUUCAAAAAAUAAAAAUAAAUGUGCUGAAAGGUUUACUCACCUUCAAGCCGUCCAAAAUGUAGAUGAGUUGCUUCUGGUGAGCAUUACAUCACUUACUCAUCAAUGGAUCCUCUGCAGUGAAUGGGUGCCGUCAGAAUGAGAGUCCAAACAGCUGAUACAAACAUCACAAUAAUCCACAUGACUAAUUUGUCAAUUAAUAUCAUGUAGACUGAAAAGCUGUCUGUUUGUAAUAAAUAGUUUGUAGCUAUACCUCUAA